UCAUCCUGCAUCAUGCAUGAUAAAUACAAUCAGACUGUGACCAGAGAUCAAAUAAAUAAUAUAAUUGGUGAGUAUGCAUGUAUGAAUAAUAAUCAGGUUAUUCAUGUGCAACAAACAUUUUGGAUAGAUAUUCUUAAAGUUAAGAUAGGAAUCACUCAACUUUACAUUACUAGCUUGAAGGCAGGGGAACAUGGCCUUCCUCGAUCUGCCUAACAUCUUCAACAAGGUCCUCAUAAUGCCUUUUCACUUCUUCAACAGUCUUCCCUCCCACAGCUCUAGCCACCUUCUGCCAAAGAUCAGGAGUGUCCUUGUCCAACAUUGCCAACGCAUUCUCAAAUCUUUUGUUCUGCUUUGUUGUCCAAUUCGAACUUGAAGCCAUUAAUUGUAGUAGCAACUAACAACAAUACUAUGUAUGAUGUUUAAUGAAGGAUAGUGUCAUUGCUAGCUGCCCUUUAUAUAGUAAUGUAGGAGUUGGCCUAUACAUGAAUAACUCAUAUGGACUAUGAUAUGUCACUCACAUGCAGACUUGAUCAAUAAUAAUUUCAGAAAACUAUAUAAGAAUAUAUCGCAUGUGUUGGUGUCCUGUUGAACACCAACACAUAUCGAAUAUUGAACACAUAUUUGAUGACAGUGCUAGAGAGCAUCUCAUUCCUAAGGAGCUCCUUCCAAGGACGUACCCGGGGAAUACCGAGUUCGAUUCCCAGAAGGAACAACGCUUGACCAGUGCGCAUGCCUCUACGCACGAGCUGGAUUAAUCGUCUACCUUUGAUGGGUCGGAAGCCUGCGAAAGCCAAAAAAAAAAAGUUAUUGCUUCAUGUAUAUAAGUUGUGAAUUCCGUGUCACAUCACGUGCAUGUUUAUAUCCUAAUUUUAGUGGCAUUUGGGUUAAAGAAUUCAACAGAAGGAGACCACUUUAUAUAAAAUGCGGAAUGUCCUCGUGGAAUCUCAAUGACAAGUUCCUUCUUCGCCCCCACCCAUUACAAGUUGAGUUGAGGUGGACAUUAAAAAACGGAUCUCCUAAUCCAACAAUAGAAAAUAUUCAUAUUUAUAUGGUUAAGCAUGUUUCAUCAUCAAUGCAAUUAACUAAAGAAACCAAAGAGUAUUUUUUAUAUAUGCAAAUAUUAGUCAAUAAAACUGUUAUAUUAAAAGUUUGUUUGAAAAUUGGUCUUUGUUUUAAGGUGCACAAUAUGAUCUUCAGACGAUAUGUAACGGCUGUGGAGAUUUGAACUUGCACGGUUAAUAGGACAGGUUGGUCCACAAUGUUCACGUGCCAUGUAUGUAUGUACCUUGCGUGCGUUUAGCAUUUUUCACGUAAGAGUACUAUAGAAGUGUUUUAAUCUUAGCGUGUGUUAGAUUGUGCGAUGAAGAGAAUUGAUUUUGAUAGUAUUGAUUGUGUAGA